rnacentral:rRNA from 1 species
CCUACGGGGGGCAGCAGUGAGGAAUAUUGGUCAAUGGACGAGAGUCUGAACCAGCCAAGUAGCGUGAAGGAUGACUGCCCUAUGGGUUGUAAACUUCUUUUAUAUGGGAAUAAAAUGUUCCACGUGUGGGAUUUUGUAUGUACCAUGUGAAUAAGGAUCGGCUAACUCCGUGCCAGCAGCCGCGGUAAUACGGAGGAUCCGAGCGUUAUCCGGAUUUAUUGGGUUUAAAGGGAGCGUAGGUGGAUUGUUAAGUCAGUUGUGAAAGUUUGCGGCUCAACCGUAAAAUUGCAGUUGAAACUGGCAGUCUUGAGUACAGUAGAGGUGGGCGGAAUUCGUGGUGUAGCGGUGAAAUGCUUAGAUAUCACGAAGAACUCCGAUUGCGAAGGCAGUUCACUGGACUGCAACUGACACUGAGGCUCGAAAGUGUGGGUAUCAAACAGGAUUAGAUACCCGAGUAGUC